rnacentral:rRNA from 1 species
CGGGUGAGUAACGCGUGGGUAACCUGCCUUAUACAGGGGGAUAACAGUCAGAAAUGGCUGCUAAUACCGCAUAAGCGCACAGAGCUGCAUGGCUCAGUGUGAAAAACUCCGGUGGUAUAAGAUGGACCCGCGUUGGAUUAGCUAGUUGGUGGGUAACGGCCCACCAAGGCGACGAUCCAUAGCCGGUCUGAGAGGAUGAACGGCCACACUGGAACUGAGACACGGUCCAGACUCCUACGGGAGGCAGCAUG